rnacentral:lncRNA from 1 species
AUAUUUGGAUUAUGGUUUAGUGACUAGAAUUUAGGAUUUAGUAUUUAGAAGGUGAGGGGGUAUGGUUGGGGUCAACAUUAACUUCUUUCAUGCAAUCAUAGACAUUUUAUAGUUUCACCAAUAUGUACUAUGUUAUUUAUUUUGUUCCAUUUUAUUUGGGUUUUGUGUUUAUAUUUGGGUUUAGGGUUUAUAUUUGAAUUAGGGUUUAAUGAUUAGAGUUUAGGGUUUAGUAUUUGAAAAUUUAUGUUUGGGUUUUGUGUUUAUAUUUGGGUUUAGGGUUUAUAUUUGAAUUAGGGUUUAAUGAUUAGAGUUUAGGGUUUAGUAUUUGAAAAUUUAUGUUUGGGUUUUGUGUUUAUAUUUGGGUUUAGGGUUUAUAUUUGAAUUAGGGUUUAAUGAUUAGAGUUUAGGGUUUAGUAUUUGAAAAUUUAUGUUUGGGUUUUGUGUUUAUAUUUGGGUUUAGGAUUUAUACACUUUUUAUUUUUUAAAAAUUUAUGUUUCUAUCCACUCAUUCUACUGCAUAUAGUAAAUAAAUAUGUUGUAAAUAAAUUUGUGACAUGAGUUCUUUUACGCGAAGUGUUUGUAAAUAAUAGUGAUUCAUUAUUAACCAGCAAUAAAAAAUUUUUGGGUGAAUUAAAUUGGUACGUGGCUGCAUGUGUUUCUAUCAAAUAAAGUAGUCUUAAUUUAAUGGGAAAAUUGGAUAAAUAGG